GGCGGACGGGUGAGUAACACGUGGGUAACCUGCCCAUAAGAGGGGGAUAACAUCCGGAAACGGAUGCUAAUACCGCAUAUUUCCAAUUGUCUCCUGACAGAUGGAAAAAAGGUGGCUUCGGCUACCGCUUAUGGAUGGACCCGCGGCGUAUUAGCUAGUUGGUGAGGUAAUGGCUCACCAAGGCGAUGAUACGUAGCCGACCUGAGAGGGUGAUCGGCCACACUGGGACUGAGACACGGCCCAGACUCCUACGGGAGGCAGCAGUAGGGAAUCUUCCGCAAUGGACGAAAGUCUGACGGAGCAAUGCCGCGUGAGUGAAGAAGGUUUUCGGAUCGUAAAACUCUGUUGUUAGAGAAGAACAAGGAUGAGAGUAACUGCUCAUCCCCUGACGGUAUCUAACCAGAAAGCCACGGCUAACUACGUGCCAGCAGCCGCGGUAAUACGUAGGUGGCAAGCGUUGUCCGGAUUUAUUGGGCGUAAAGCGAGCGCAGGCGGUUCUUUAAGUCUGAUGUG
rnacentral:rRNA from 1 species